AUUUACAAAUUAAUGCUUUUUAGAAGUUAGAAAUUUCUUUUAUAUAUUUCAAU
rnacentral:tRNA from 1 species